GACGAACGCUGGCGGCGUGCCUAAUACAUGCAAGUUGAGCGCUGAAGGUUGGUACUUGUACCAACUGGAUGAGCAGCGAACGGGUGAGUAACGCGUGGGGAAUCUGCCUUUGAGCGGGGGACAACAUUUGGAAACGAAUGCUAAUACCGCAUAAAAACUUUAAACACAAGUUUUAAGUUUGAAAGAUGCAAUUGCAUCACUCAAAGAUGAUCCCGCGUUGUAUUAGCUAGUUGGUGAGGUAAAGGCUCACCAAGGCGAUGAUACAUAGCCGACCUGAGAGGGUGAUCGGCCACAUUGGGACUGAGACACGGCCCAAACUCCUACGGGAGGCAGCAGGAGGGAAGCUUCGGCAAUGGACGAAAGUCUGACCGAGCAACGCCGCGGGAGGGAAGAAGGUUGUCGGAUCGUAAAACUCUGUUGGUAGAGAAGAACGUUGGUGAGAGUGGAAAGCUCAUCAAGUGACGGUAACUACCCAGAAAGGGACGGCUAACUACGUG
rnacentral:rRNA from 1 species